rnacentral:lncRNA from 1 species
AUUUAAAAAUAAAAAAAAUAUUUUUAAUUGAUUGUUGAUAAUCUCUAAUAAAAAAUAAUUAAUUUACUUUUUAGAUCUAAAAAUACUUCAAACAUAAUCUUUAGUUUUUUUUUUUUAAUUUAAAUGGUUUGAGAUAUAACAUUUUAAGUUUGGAUAUGGUAAACCAAAAACUUUAAAAAUUUCGGAUUUAUAAAUAUAGAAAUUUAAAAAUAAAAAAAAGUAUGAAAUUGAAAAAAAAAAAGAUUUUAUUUUAAAGUAUUUAAAAAAUAUAUAAAAGUAGGAUAUGUUUAGAAUCACCGAGUUGUUGUAAGUCAGACGCCAAAGAUCAACCCAACACCGAGCAUAAUCCUGGAAGUUGGUGCAACCAAUGAAAUGCCACUUGUUUCCUUCAUAGAAAAAGCCAAAAAACGAAGGGAGAAUCCAACAUCGUCGAACUUUCACUGUUUCACAAGUGGAAAAGAAAAACCAAACUCUCUUUUGUGCACACGCUCUCUAACACGCCAUUUAUUGGUGUGCCGUCACGUGUCACGAUCCAUCACAGUCCGAUAAGUUUAUCCACGAAGCGUGUGGUCUGCGUGGACCCCCAGUUGGAAAAAUCGGUUCCACACCAUUAUCGGCUUUUUCACAGAACAAGCUUUUCCCCGUGUUCGGCGCAGUCGUGUGUAGACUUUAAACAUUGUUUUUUUGAAAAGAUAUUUAUUAGUAAUUAACACUAUUGCUUUGGAAUUUUCACUGGAGACUAAACUCUAGCAGCCAAAAACUCUGAACCCAAAAUUUGGAAUAUAAAAAAGUAACAAACUUUGUGUUAUUUUUGUGAAUUUGACAGAGAAAAAAUAUGGGAAGUUGUGUUUCAAAGCAAGGAAGCGUUGGGGGAUUUCCAAAGAAGAAGAAAAGGAAGAUUUUGAGGAGAAAAAGGAUCAUUAAAAGGAGGGUUUCUUCUCGUAAGCUUGAGAAUGGGGAAUUUUGUGCUGGUUCUAAGGACCUUUCUCGUGCUAGUUCUACGAUCCAAGGUUAACCCUUUGUUUUUCUUGAUAACCCUUUUCACUAUUUUUUGGUUUUGAAUCAUUGAAGCUUGUUGUUAGUUUUUGAUUUCUGGGUUUGACUGAUUGAGGAAAUANNN